CUUUUUUUUAGCUGAAGAGUUUUCACGGUUGAAGAGUUUUUUUCCCCCUUUGAUUCCUAUAUGGAGAAUGUUGCUUCAAGCCUGUCGUCCAGUCACACUAUCUUUACCGUUUACGGCUUUGCUGACGACAGGCUUACGAAGACCUUAUCUACCUUCAAAAAGGAAGAGCCACUAUCGAAAACGAAAGUUGAAUCUGUAGAUUAGAUUUUUGUCAACGUUGGGUUUGCAUGUCUUUACAGGAAGAAUUUUUACUCUAAGCAAGAAAAAAGGUAUUGAGGACCAUUCUUCAUCAGUCCAUUAUUUUACCAGAUUCCAGAUGAUGAAGAACUUAUAAGGCAAAACUGAUGGCAGGUGCUAAUAUUCAAGACAGGCCUCCAACAGAGAGAGAACUUGUGGAAGUCAGCAAACAUAUUGGGGCUGGUUUCGAGCUAGUGGGAGCAUACCUAGGCAUCGACAGCAUAAAGAUGCAACAUAUCAUUAUGAACAAUGGCUUCAGUGCAGAGACGCAAAUUUUUAAAAUGCUUGUCACUUGGAAACAGAAGGAGGGACGUCAAGCAACAGUGAAAAAACUCCUGGAGGCCGUAAAAAACAGCCCAGGGAACAUUAACGUGGAGGAGAUAGAGAGGAUUUUCAACUUGUGAUUUUUCAUUGUAUGAUUUAGUGAAAAAGAAGCAAUCUGAUUAAAAUCAGAUCCUUUGAUCCGUUAUGGGAGUGGAUCGAGGGAUCCGAUUUUAAUCAGACUGAAAAAGAAUGGAUCUGAGAUAACAGAAACAGUGUGUAGACAAAAAACAAACAAAUUUUUAGUUGAAUUAAGGACCAUAACUGUGGAAAAUUGAAGUGGUCAGUGUUUCUGUAAUACCUUGAAUACUCCUUCUCAAUUUGAUUGAUUUAUCAUGAUUAGGCCUAGAUAAAUAAAUAGUUUGUUUCCGGUUCCCCGACUGACCCUAAAAUAUAUGAGCCGACCCUAAAAAAUUAUCCGCAGAUAUCUUUCCAGGAGUAAACUAUUCCAGUUUUCACUAUUAGAAAUCCUAAUCUCGAUCACUUCUAUGUUUCAGAAAAUGCAUAUUCUAUCAGGGAUCUAUAUACUAACGGGAUAGGCAACUCCUUCAGCGCCAUGUUUAUUUACCCAAAACGGCACACACAACACUGCAAGUUUUUCAAAAUACGUUUUUUCCAGUAAAAAGCUUGUUUUCUGAUUAAUGUAAUUUAUUCUUUUUGUGUAUUGGAAUGGAUAUUUAAUGAAUUUUAAAGCACAUAUUUUAAAACAAUUUAGAUAUUAAGUAAACAACCACCAAAAUUGGCGUUUUCUCGGAAAUACGGCCGAUCAGGGGCCCACACUGAUUUUUAAAUAAACGUACAAUGUAAUUACUUCUAAGGUAAGGAGUGAAAACAGUGCUAAUAACAAAUCUUGAAUAAUUUUUUGAUAGAUAAAUUAAGAUUUUAUUCUGAAAUACUUGAUAGCAAAAGAGAUAUAUUUUAUUAAAAUUGACUUACGAAAUCCCGCAACUUACGAGAUAUCGGGAGACUUGCGAGAGUUGCCUAUCCCGUUAGUAUAUAGGUCCCUGAUUCUAUACACAUUUAUCAGAAAUGUUUUGACAGCGAUUUCCCAUGGGAGAAAUGGUAGCAUGCUUGCCAAUAAAAUAUUAAAAUAAAAUAAAAUGUUUUCCCUACCUACCUACCCUAUUUUUUCUCAGGUUGGAAUAGGAAACUCACUAUUUACUUAUCUUGGCCUUAUAUACGCUCUACUCCAAGGCUGUAGAAUCAAACUGUGUUGACAGAAUGUGUUCUUUAUAAAUAAUCAUUAUUUCCCAUCUAUACUAUCAUUUCUCCAUUUAACACUUUGAUCUCUGGCAUAUACAUGUAAAUAUGUCACAGAAAUCUAAUAUUCUACAGUAAUUACUGUGCUGUAUAAAUACAAUUGAGUGUUGAUGACUGACUGUACACUUGCUGGUGUGUAAUAUCUACAUUUAAUAUCAAGUGCUUCAUGUUCAUCACAUUGUAAGUGCUUCCACUUUCAUUUUCAAUAUUUUAUUUUAGAAUAAAUAAUGAAACAAGUA